rnacentral:rRNA from 1 species
GUAUCUUCGGAUAUGAGUAGAGCGGCGGACGGGUGAGUAACGCGUAGGAAUCUACCUAGUAGAAGGGGAUAGCCCGAGGAAACUCGGAUUAAUACCGUAUACCUCCUUAGGGAGAAAGAGGGCCUCUCUUGAUGCUCUCGCUACUAGAUGAGCCUGCGUAAGAUUAGCUUGUUGGUGAGGUAAUGGCUCACCAAGGCUACGAUCUUUAGCUGGUCUGAGAGGACGAUCAGCCACAUUGGGACUGAGACACGGCCCAGACUCCUACGGGAGGCAGCAGUGGGGAAUAUUGGACAAUGGGCGCAAGCCUGAUCUAGCCAUACCGCGUGUGUGAAGAAGGCCUUCGGGUUGUAAAGCACUUUAAGCAGGGAAAAAAAGUUAUAAGUUAAUACCUUAUAGCCGUGAUAUUACCUGCAGAAUAAGCACCGGCUAAUUCAGUGCCAGCAGCCGCGGUAAUACUGAAGGUGCAAGCGUUAAUCGGAAUUACUGGGCGUAAAGCGCGCGUAGGUGGUUUGUUAAGUUGGAUGUGAAAGCCCUGGGCUCAACCUAGGAACUGCAUCCAAAACUAACUCACUAAAGUACAAUAGAGGGAGGUAGAAUUCAUAGUGUAGCGGUGGAAUGCGUAGAUAUUAUGAAGAAUACCAGUGGCGAAGGCGGCCUCCUGGAUCUGUACUGACACUGAGGUGCGAAAGCGAGGGUAGCGAACAGGAUUAGAUACCCUGGUAGUCCACGCCGUAAACGAUGACAACUAGCUGUUGGAAGACAAUGUUUUUCAGUGGCGCAGCUAACGUUUUAAGUUGUCCGCCUGGGGAGUACGGCCGCAAGGCUAAAACUCAAAUGAAUUGACGGGGACCCGCACAAGCGGUGGAGCAUGUGGUUUAAUUCGAUGCAACGCG